rnacentral:rRNA from 1 species
GACGAACGCUGGCGGCGUGCUUAACACAUGCAAGUCGAACGGAAAGGCCCUGCUUUUGUGGGGUGCUCGAGUGGCGAACGGGUGAGUAACACGUGAGUAACCUGCCCUUGACUUUGGGAUAACUUCAGGAAACUGGGGCUAAUACCGGAUAGGAGCUCCUGCUGCAUGGUGGGGGUUGGAAAGUUUCGGCGGUUGGGGAUGGACUCGCGGCUUAUCAGCUUGUUGGUGGGGUAGUGGCUUACCAAGGCUUUGACGGGUAGCCGGCCUGAGAGGGUGACCGGCCACAUUGGGACUGAGAUACGGCCCAGACGCCUACGGGAGGCAGCGGUGGGGAAUAUUGCACAAUGGGCGGAAGCCUGAUGCAGCAGCGCCGCGUGCGGGAUGACGGCCUUCGGGUUGUAAACCGCUUUCGCCUGUGACGAAGCGUGAGUGACGGUAAUGGGUAAAGAAGCACCGGCUAACUACGUG